CUGCACGAUAUCUCCUGGUCUUCUCUGGAAGAGUUAUAAUUGUUGAUGUAAGCUCCAAUAAUUGUGCUAGAUCGAUUGUUGUUAAUUGUUCAGAUUUAGUUUUUUGAUAAUGACUAAUUUUGUAUCAAAUUAAUAGCUAACAUCU